rnacentral:snRNA from 1 species
UUUCGCCUCAGAACCUUCUGU